rnacentral:lncRNA from 1 species
UCUGGGUCCCAGGAGCAACAGAGGACAGCCAUCUCCCAAACAGAAAAGAUGCGCCCUGGAUGAAGCAGGGUCAGCUGUCUCCGUGGUCUUGGACACCCAGAAUCCAAAGGAAGCUUUCAGAAAAUGAACGGAUGUUCACAUCAGUACCUUCCCCCCAUUUCCCACUCCUGGCAACAGUCCCGCUAACAGAACCUACAAAAGCUCACAACAGAACAGCCCGACAUUCCGUUCUUCCUUCCCUCUUUUCAGAUCUGGGCAGAGCCUCACGCCAGGGCCCCACAGGGGGCCUCUGCACCAGCAGUCCUUCAAGAGCAAACUUCUCACACCCGCCAUGUCAUUGCACCAGUGCUGCAAAGCUCCAACGGCUGGUUCUGGACAAUUAAGAAACCGAGGAAGGGAGACAAGACACCAGGACAGAACAACAUGUGCAGGGCAGCCAGGUGGGGGAGUAAACAUGCUGCUAAGCCUGAGGGAAAGUCACUGUGGGCAGAAACUACGGCGGAUGAACCGGAAGUUUCCCAGCACAGGAAGGAAUGGACAUGCUUCAAGAGCCAGACCCCAAGGAAACCAUGACCAGAAGGGAAGGAGGCAAAAAGCGUUAAGAGGCUGCAGCUUUCUGAAAGCUCCGUCCGAAGCCCCGACCGAGCGCAGCAGAGCCCCCUCUUCCCAGGAGGAGGAAGAAGCGAUCAGCUGAAGUCUGGAGAGGUGGAGCUGGGAGCAGCUCUGCAGCCGCGCACUCCCGAGACAUCUCACCUGGCAGGAGCUAGUAGCACGCAGUCGUGGCUGCGAGCAGAAGGGUAGCAUCCCGCCAAGAUGACAGUCCAGCGGGGACGAUGCUUUCAUUAGAGCCCAGACGGAGGCUUAAAUCAGGGCAGCAGGAGCCAGCACAGUGACAGCAGUGGCCCGCCAGCAUCAGAGGCUCGCCUUGUCCUUCUCUAAUGAUGGACUGGCCCCAUGCACUGGCCCCUCGAAGCAGCCCUAGGGGGAUCCUCACUCCCUGCUUAUGGAGUGUGUAUUGGUGGGAGAAUUCCGCAGGUUGGUUGGGGGAAAGCUGCAUUGGCUACUUUGCCCACUAGACCACUUUUCACUCAAUGUUUUUACUCUGCAUUAGUUGUGUGCUUUGAUUGGAAAAUAAAGAUAACUACACUAGUGAGCA